CAUAGUUUCUUGAGAAGAUUUACUAUGGGAGAAACUAAUGGGGAAUCUUCCAGGAGUUUGUUACCCAUCAAAUAUGCAGUUUUUAAGAUCAACAGCUUGAGUAACUGGAUUGCCCCAGGGACUCCAUCACCUGUGCUCUGUCCUUGGGUGGCCUUUAAUGAUUCUUACUUCCAUGAAGACUUCCAUCAAGAGGAAAACGUUGUUUUCUUCCUGAAGAGGAAGCUCAUGCCAGUGAUUGUUAAUCUCUAGUUGGAGAACACACACAGGACACACAUGUCUGUAAUGGAUAUGAUUCCAGUUUGAGAACCCUCAUGGAUUACCAUUUAAACAAAAAAGUCCUAAGUGAACAUAUUGAGUUAUAAUCAUGACUAAUUUAGAAGCACAAAUUGUCAAACCGUUUCUGUUUCAAAUAAGAGAAAUAAGCAAGUAAGAUUUGAGAGAAACCUUAAAUCUAGUAAAAAUGUAACGAUACUUAAUUACUGUCUGUUAAAACAAUUGGCAUUUGCUUAAAGACAUUGUACUUAAAAGAUGCAUUCUUUUUACCGUUUUAUGUUUCAGUAGAAACAUAAAAACAUUAGCGAGCAAGAAAAACUGCAUCUGGUUUGUGCACAAUGUCCUAGCAAAAAUGCAGCAUGAAUAAGCACCAUUUGCUAUCUUCCUACAUGCAGCACUUACAACUUGCAAAUAUUUUAGAUAACACCAAAAAUUCUAGAUUUGGUGAUCAUUAUAUUCAAAAAGAAAAAUAUAUUUUGACAGGGAUCUUUGGGAAAAAUUGAAGGUAAAGUUAUAUUCAUUGGCUCUGACUUGUUAUUUGCAUUUCAAAAGACUUUUUAAUUUUCUUUACCAUAUUUGUUUUCUAAGCCACCUCCUGGAAGGAAGGAAUGAGUAAUUAAGACACUGGCCUGGAGUUGAGGGACGUCAGAACUACCGUAUGAAUACUUCCUGUAUAACACUGGAGUUAUUACUUCUUUUCUGUGGCUUUUUUUUCAGAUCAUUUGCAAUGAAGUCAACUUAUGUCAUGACAACCAUGUUCUCUAAAGUCAAAGGAGUGAGAAGCGAUUUAAACCAUCUAUUAUCUAAGAAUGCCUGGCAACCUAUGUGGUCAAUAGACUCGUUGCUCACGGUGAGUCAUACACUAAUUUGUAUGACAAUAUCCAUUUUUCUAACAGAGGGAACAGUAGGGUCUUACAAAAAUUAUUUAAGGAGUAAAUUGAAUGAGGCCAUAGUUGCAUUAGAACAUUAUGAGUAAAAAAGAAGGCAAUACAUUUUCUGUGCACCAGUCAUGGAAAGAGGUAGUAUAGAUGGAGCAAAUGAUAUAAAAUGAAUCCAGAAAAGUAAAAUAAUGGGGUGUAUAUACUUUGAUCUUACUGAAUCUUUUAACUAUCAAAGGCUUGUAUGCGCCAAAGAAAGCUAAGGUAUUUCCAUUGUUAUCUCCUGAGGCUUGUUUCACUAGGAAAGCAUACUGAAAAGAAGACAUAGCUUCCAUGAGGGGAGGAAGCAUGAACCUGUGUUGGAAGUGGACGCUGUGGUAUGACACAAUGGAGUAGGGUCUGUUUGUGUCUUGAAUCAGGCACUUCUGAGUGAAGUUCAUUUAGCUGACUGCCUGAGACUGGGAGAGAAAAGAAGGUGAAAUAAGUAUCUGGAAACACAAAAUCCAAAAUUAUUUAUUGUUGAGUCUUUAAAAAUUCAAGCAUUCCUUUUGAAAGAAAGAAUAAAUAAGCAUAAAAAAUCUUUCACUCUUCAUGUUUAUAGGAGAUAACUUUUUAUUUUGUUCUGCUGUUUGUAUCAGAGUAUAAACAAACGUAGACAGGGAUGCUGUCUGUUUUCUAAAGAAAUUUUAAUCCAAAUAAAACCAGAAGCAGCAAAUAGUAGUAAACAGCAAACAAAGGGAAACAAAGGAAGUGUGUAGGCUUUGAGAAGAAAAACAGCUUAUACAGUGCAUUAGAUGAGUAUUAUUAUGGCUCCUAACUACAUGUAAUGUAAUUUCCCAUAGUUUUAUAUCAAUAAAGAAGGCACAUUGACAAAAUUUUAAGAAAUACAUAUAAGCUUGAGGUACUCAGAUGUUAAAGGAUAAUUACUCAAUAAAUGCUGAAACAGAACAAAGGAAAAACUAGGAACACAAAGAAAAGAAUUGCAAGCCCCAGUCUGAACAGCUCAGUAGAGCUGAUUUCUGUUUGGAUAUCUGGUAUUUGUUUUCUCACAGGUUUAGAUCUGUACCACACUCAUCAUUGAUUUCCAAUCUUAAGGCAUCUCAGUAUUUACAGCAGUGCAGCUUCCCAGGCUAGAUCAAGCUACAGCUUUUCUACUGUCUAGCCAUGAUUUUUACAGUCCUUUCUUUAUCAGUAACACUUUCUAGACAGGUCUAUAGUAGCUUCUGGCACUUGGUCAUAACUUGCACAUUGACGAUUUCAAUUCACUAACUAAAUAAUUAUUGAAGUAAAAAGCUGAUGAUAUUAAACUGUAAAGUCUGAUUCCACAGACUACAAUGCUCUCUGAGUGCUGAUUUUAGUUGUACAGCAUUACUGAAUUUUGACAUGAAUUGUAUGGUCUCAUUCAGGAACGGAGUGAUAGGUUUUACAUAUAAUAUAACUGAGUUCAUAUUUGGAUUGUGAAAUUAAUACCGGGGAAAUGGAAAAUACUUCAGUGCUCUGAGCUAUAGGCCCACUUGCUGUCAGUGCCACAAUUGAUGGCCCUGUCAGCAGGAUAGCACUGAGAUAGUCUUUAGCAGCUUCUCAGGAAGUCCAAUUUAAUUAAAAGCUUAUCUCUUAAUACAACGUCGAGCUUCUAUAUGACAAAGAAGUGUUUCCCAUGAUGUUAGUUUUCAUGGCAUCACACCACACAGAAUAUUGACUUCUCUCUCCAUCGCAGUAGAGGAAAUUACUGUUGUGCCUUUGUUUUCCAUGCUGCUGGAAGAAUGCUGGGUUUGUGAGCAUUUUUGUUUUCUUUUCUACAUGCUUUCCAAGAUAACCAGACCAUGAAAAUCUG